rnacentral:rRNA from 1 species
UCGAGCGGAAACGAGUUAUCCGAACCUUCGGGGAACGAUAACGGCGUCGAGCGGCGGACGGGUGAGUAAUGCCUAGGAAAUUGCCCUGAUGUGGGGGAUAACCAUUGGAAACGAUGGCUAAUACCGCAUAAUGCCUACGGGCCAAAGAGGGGGACCUUCGGGCCUCUCGCGUCAGGAUAUGCCUAGGUGGGAUUAGCUAGUUGGUGAGGUAAUGGCUCACCAAGGCGACGAUCCCUAGCUGGUCUGAGAGGAUGAUCAGCCACACUGGAACCGAGACACGGUCCAGACUCCUACGGGAGGCAGCAGUGGGGAACAUUGCACAAUGGGCGCAAGCCUGAUGCAGCCAUGCCGCGUGUGUGAAGAAGGCCUUCGGGUUGUAAAGCACUUUCAGUCGUGAGGAAGGUAGUGUAGUUAAUAGCUGCAUUACUUGACGUUAGCGACAGAAGAAGCACCGGCUAACUCCGUGCCAGCAGCCGCGGUAAUACGGAGGGUGCGAGCGUUAAUCGGAAUUACUGGGCGUAAAGCGCAUGCAGGUGGUUUGUUAAGUCAGAUGUGAAAGCCCGGGGCUCAACCUCGGAAUAGCAUUUGAAACUGGCAGACUAGAGUACUGUAGAGGGGGGUAGAAUUUCAGGUGUAGCGGUGAAAUGCGUAGAGAUCUGAAGGAAUACCGGUGGCGAAGGCGGCCCCCUGGACAGAUACUGACACUCAGAUGCNAAAGCGUGGGGAG